GGCUGGAUGGCCGAGUGGUUAAGGCGCUGUGUUUAGGCAACCUGUACUUGUACAGAAGCAUAAACCGCAGUUCGAAAGAGCGUGGGUUCAAGUCCCACUCCAGUCA
rfam:Paraphaeosphaeria sporulosa strain AP3s5-JAC2a unplaced genomic scaffold CC84scaffold_1, whole genome shotgun sequence.